GCCAGGAGCAGAGCUGGAAAAUGUAAUGCUGCACCACCUCACUGAGCCAAGGAACCUGACCGGAGGGCCCACCGCCACCUGCUUGCUGUCAGUUUUUGAAUUCAUUUGUUCAAUCAUCACCGACUCAUUCAUUCAAGAAAAUUUAUUGAGCACGUCAGCUUCUGCCAUCAUUGAACUCACAGUCUAACUGGCCCCGGACAGUCUCAUGGGUCCUACGCACGGUGUCUGCUGGGCCUAGUAAAAUCGAUCCUGCAUGCUGUCAACUCACGUGCCAGAAUGUUGUAAAGAAGGAAGGAGGCUGUUAAG